AGAAUGGCUGUAAGGGACCAUAUAUAGCAUGUGGUCACAUGGUGUCUCCCGCAGAAAAUCUUGCGUAAAAUACUGAGGUAGUCAUUUUUCCAAUCGCUUCUUAUGAGAAACCAAUUGCCUCGAUGGAUAUAUUAUCGAAUAUAUAUGUUAAAAACACCUUGAGGAUGGAUCCUAAACAACGUUUGCCGUGUUUCUGUCGAUAUUAUGGAGCAAAUUUUGAAAAAGGUUUGGCGUUAUAGUUGUAGCAUUUUACGGUCGAUUUCUCAGCCAAGCAUGAUGAAGAAACGGGAGCUAUUUCGCCUACAAAAAAUAAUAUUUUGGGAAAAAAGGAACAUUUGCUAUCUAACUGGGAGUCUCCUGAGUGAAAGCAUCCGAAGUUCUUCAAAGGUUUCUUUUUCUUCUGGACACAGUAAACUGCCAACACCAUCACUAGGACGAGGACUACGCCUGCCAGAGACGCUGCUACCAUCCCUAUGAUCUCUGGGUAAAACAGAGGAAACAGAGACAGAACAACAUAUAAGCAUGAAGGAGAGGCCUCAGUGUCUCUAUGUGUGUGUCCGUCCAGAGUCCAGCUGUACUGAGGACCGUCCCCCUCAGAGGAGCAGGACACCCUCAUCUCUCCAUGGGUCAGACACUGAGAGGACAGCUGAGGAGAGGACACUGGGGCUGUGGAGGAAGAAGAAUCGACAUCUGAAGACAUCUGCAGACUUUCGCACAAACAAAUGAGAAAACAACACUUCUUCUUCUUCUUCUUCUUCUUCGAGAGAGAGAGAGAGAGAGAGAGAGAGAGAGAGAGAGAGAGAGAGAGAGAGAGAGAGAGAGAGA
ensembl:lncRNA